rnacentral:rRNA from 1 species
GUCGAGCGAGCUGAAUUCAAAGAUUCCUUCGGGAUGAUUUGUUGGACGCUAGCGGCGGAUGGGUGAGUAACACGUGGGCAAUCUGCCCUAAAGACUGGGAUACCACUUGGAAACAGGUGCUAAUACCGGAUAACAACAUGAAUCGCAUGAUUCAAGUUUGAAAGGCGGCGCAAGCUGUCACUUUAGGAUGAGCCCGCGGCGCAUUAGCUAGUUGGUGGGGUAAAGGCCUACCAAGGCRAUGAUGCGUAGCCGAGUUGAGAGACUGAUCGGCCACAUUGGGACUGAGACACGGCCCAAACUCCUACGGGAGGCAGCAGUAGGGAAUCUUCCACAAUGGACGMAAGUCUGAUGGAGCAACGCCGCGUGAGUGAAGAAGGUCUUCGGAUCGUAAAGCUCUGUUGUUGGUGAAGAAGGAUAGAGGCAGUAACUGGUCUUUAUUUGACGGUAAUCAACCAGAAAGUCACGGCUAACUACGUGCCAGCAGCCGCGGUAAUACGUAGGUGGCAAGCGUUGUCCGGAUUUAUUGGGCGUAAAGCGAGCGCAGGCGGAAUGAUAAGUCUGAUGUGAAAGCCCACGGCUCAACCGUGGAACUGCAUCGGAAACUGUCAUUCUUGAGUGCAGAAGAGGAGAGUGGAACUCCAUGUGUAGCGGUGGAAUGCGUAGAUAUAUGGAAGAACACCAGUGGCGAAGGCGGCUCUCUGGUCUGCAACUGACGCUGAGGCUCGAAAGCAUGGGUAGCGAACAGGAUUAGAUACCCUGGUAGUCCAUGCCGUAAACGAUGAGCGCUAGGUGUUGGGGACUUUCCGGUCCUCAGUGCCGCAGCAAACGCAUUAAGCGCUCCGCCUGGGGAGUACGACCGCAAGGUUGAAACUCAAAGGAAUUGACGGGGGCCCGCACAAGCGGUGGAGCAUGUGGUUUAAUUCGAAGCAACGCGAAGAACCUUACCAGGUCUUGACAUCCUGCGCUACACCUAGAGAUAGGUGGUUCCCUUCGGGGACGCAAAGACAGGUGGUGCAUGGCUGUCGUCAGCUCGUGUCUUGAGAUGUUGGGUUAAGUCCCGCAACGAGCGCAACCCUUGUCUUUAGUUGSCAUCAUUAAGUUGGGCACUCU